CCCACCAAGGCAACGACGGGUAGCUGGUUUGAGAGAACGAUCAGCCACACUGGGACUGAGACACGGCCCAGACUCCUACGGGAGGCAGCAGUGGGGAAUCUUGCGCAAUGGGCGAAAGCCUGACGCAGCAACGCCGCGUGCGGGAUGACGGCCUUCGUGGUUGUAAACCGCUUUCAGCAGGGACGAAAAUGACGGUACCUGCAGAAGAAGCCCCGGCUAACUACGUGCCAGCAGCCGCGGUAAUACGUAGGGGGCAAGCGUUGUCCGGAAUCAUUGGGCGUAAAGAGCUCGUAGGCGGUUCAGUAAGUCGGGUGUGAAAGCUCCGAGCUCAACUCGGAGAGGCCACUCGAUACUGCUGUGACUAGAAUCCAGUAGGGGGAGUGUGGAACUCCUGGUGUAGCGGUGAAAUGCGCAGAUAUCAGGAAG
rnacentral:rRNA from 1 species